AUACUCCGGUUUGUCUUCAUAUCGUAUAAAUCUUUCGCCUUUUACUAAAGAUUUCCGUGGAGAGGAACAAGUACGAGUACAAACUAAUUUUUUGAGGCUUCACUGAGGUGGAGCU